GGAUUCGCAUAAAAGAUGCCACCUGCAUAAUGUAUAAAACAUAUCAAUGAAGGAGUAAUAGGAUGAUCAACUUUAGGCUGUCUUGGAAAUCCCCAGGAUUAAAAUUGCAUAUAUGUGAUCCUCAUGUGAUUUAUCUUGAAUUACAAGUCAAAUCAACUUGAAAAGGAUCACUUGUUCAUUCAAUUUCCUGGAAACUUGGAUUCCCAUAUAUAAUUGAAAAUAUUGCAUUUCUCAUCUCUUCAAUGAUGGGCAAUAUCACAAAUCAUUUCCAGACUUUUCUUUCCCCAAAUUGCAAUGCAUAACAACAAGAAAGUAUCUAAAUUUCCCCCUAAACCUGGUAUUAUGAAUUAAAUUGCUUGUGGAGCAUCAAGUAACAACACAUGUACAACUUACCGUAGUUGUCCGAGGCCGAAGA
rnacentral:misc_RNA from 1 species